rnacentral:rRNA from 1 species
UGAAUUGACGGGGCCCGCACAAGCGGUGGAGCAUGUGGUUAAUUCGACGCAACGCGAAGAACCUUACCAGGGCUUGACAUCCCCUGACCGCGUAUGAAAGUACGUUUUCACCCUCGGGUGACAGGGAGACAGGUGGUGCAUGGUUGUCGUCAGCUCGUGUCGUGAGAUGUUGGGUUAAGUCCCGCAACGAGCGCAACCCCUACGUUUAGUUGCUAACGCGUGAAGGCGAGCACUCUAGACGAACUGCCGUUGACAAAACGGAGGAAGGUGGGAUGACGUCAAAUCAUCAUGCCCCUUAUGUUCUGGGCUACACACGUGCUACAAUGGCCGGUACAGACGGACGCAAAGCCGCGAGGUGGAGCAAAUCCUAAAAAGCCGGUCUCAGUUCGGAUUGCAGGCUGCAAUUCGCCUGCAUGAAGUCGGAAUCGCUAGUAAUCGCAGGUCAGCAUACUGCGGUGAAUACGUUCCCGGGCCUU